UGGUCAAGCAAUUAAGAGCAUUUGGUGGAUGCCUUGGUGCCAGAAGGCGAUGAAGGACGCGGUUAGCUGCGAUAAGCUUCGGGGAGUUGCCAGCAAACAUUGAUCCGAAGAUUUCCGAAUGGGGAAACCC
rnacentral:rRNA from 1 species